rnacentral:rRNA from 1 species
GAUCAUGGCUCAGGAUGAACGCUGGCGGCGUGCCUAACACAUGCAAGUCGAGCGAAGCGGUUUUAAGGAAGUUUUCGGAUGGAAUUAAAACUGACUGAGCGGCGGACGGGUGAGUAACGCGUGGGUAACCUGCCUCAUACAGGGGGGAUAGCAGUUAGAAAUGGCUGCUAAUACCGCAUAAGCACACAGCUUCGCAUGGAGCAGUGUGAAAACUCCGGUGGUAUGAGAUGGACCCG